AAUCUUAUAGUUAAAUAAUAAUAUUAAACUGCAAUUUUAAAGUUAAAAAAAAUUUAAGGUUU
rnacentral:tRNA from 1 species